rnacentral:tRNA from 2 species
GCGGGGGUGCCCGAGCCUGGUCAAAGGGGCCGGGUUGAGGACCCGGUGGCGUAGGCCUGCGUGGGUUCAAAUCCCACCCCCCGCACCA